rnacentral:misc_RNA from 1 species
GAUGAAGAACGCAGCGAAAUGCGAUAAGUAAUGUGAAUUGCAGAAUUCAGUGAAUCAUCGAAUCUUUGAACGCACAUUGCGCCCAUUAGUAUUCUAGUGGGCAUGCCUGUUCGAGCGUCAUUAAGUCCACUUAAGCCCUGCUUAGUGUUGGGAGACUGCUCCAGCGGUGCUACCCUGUAGCUACCCUGCAGCUCCUCAAAGACAGCGGCGGAGUUGUGGUAUCCUCUGAGCUUAGUAACUUGUUCUAGCUUUCGAGCACACCACUUCCCCUGCCGUAAAACCCUUAAUUUUUAAUGGUUGACCUCGGAUCAGGUAGGAAUACCCGCUGAACUUAAGCAUAUCAAUAAGCGGAGGA